GUUAGAGCACAAUUAUAG
rnacentral:snRNA from 1 species